rnacentral:rRNA from 1 species
ACAAUAUACAAGGUGCUGCAUGGUUGUCGUCAGCUCGUGCCGUGAGGUGUCGGGUUAAGUCCCAUAACGAGCGCAACCCCUAUCAUUAGUUACCAUCAUUAAGUUGGGGACUCUAGCGAGACUGCCAGUGAUAAACUGGAGGAAGGUGGGGAUGACGUCAAAUCAUCAUGCCCCUUAUGACCUGGGCUACAAACGUGAUACAAUGGCUGGAACAAAGGGAUGCGAAGCAGUGAUGUGGAGCGAAACCCAUAAAAACAGUCUCAGUUCGGAUUGAAGUCUGCAACUCGACUUCAUGAAGUCGGAAUCGCCAGUAAUCGCGGAUCAGAACGCCGCGGUGAAUACGUUCUCGGGGUUU